GACGAACGCUGGCGGCGUGCUUAACACAUGCAAGUCGAACGGAAAGGCCCUGCUUGCAGGGUACUCGAGUGGCGAACGGGUGAGUAACACGUGGGUGAUCUGCCCUGCACUUCUGGAUAAGCCUGGGAAACUGGGUCUAAUACCGGAUAGGAGCCAUUUUUAGUGUGAUGGUUGGAAAGUUUUUUCGGUGUAGGAUGAGCUCGCGGCCUAUCAGCUUGUUGGUGGGGUAAUGGCCUACCAAGGCGGCGACGGGUAGCCGGCCUGAGAGGGUGGACGGCCACAUUGGGACUGAGAUACGGCCCAGACUCCUACGGGAGGCAGCAGUGGGGAAUAUUGCACAAUGGGCGCAAGCCUGAUGCAGCGACGCCGCGUGGGGGAUGACGGCCUUCGGGUUGUAAACUCCUUUCGCUAGGGACGAAGCUUUUUGUGACGGUACCUAGAUAAGAAGCACCGGCUAACUACGUG
rnacentral:rRNA from 1 species